AAACCGCGGCUCGGGCGGAUGACGCGACGAAAAAUACUAUUUUAAUCAAAUUCGGGCGGGUGGCGGUUUAACGACGCAUGGACCCAUAGAACUACUCACGUACACCGUGUGCACCGCGCCUUUUUUUUAAUCGAGACUCGUUUUCGUUGUUUGCUAUAUGAUUGUUCUAAAAUCUAAAAUCGUGGGUGCAAAUGGAGAGUUUGGAGUUCAAGUUUUUAGAUUAUCACCACAAAAUUGCAUAAAAGCUUUGGUUGGAAUUAAACACUAAAACAUAUUUUCAGUUUUACAGGUGACUACCCAACAGGCUGUGGAGCUGUAAAUACUGUGAGUUCAGUUGUGAUAAGAGAGGUUACUACCUCAGACACUACAGAACACUAAUUUCUGUCUUUUUUUUUUUUUUUUUUUUUUUUAGAUUUGUCUGGAAUUCAAAAGGAUUGUGGGAAAAGACCUGCACCAGGAAUUUUAUUCUGCCCUUGAUAACCACACUACCCAUUUUAUUGAAAGUUUUAAAGCUAAGAGGGGCAACGUGGGUGACAGUUGGCACAGCUUUUGCAGCAAAUACAGUCACUGGAUUCUACUGAAAAAAGGACAGUCACACUAAGAGGUCUUCCUUACUUACUCGGAGACAAUCCCACUGAAUUCUUCAAAUCUAGAAGCUUUGAUGGUGAUGAAUCCUUUCGCCAAAUGGACAUUGGGAUCUUGUUAGUAAAUCUGAAGGUGUCUCUCUUCCAACACCAGAUCUUCCCCCAGCUGCCUGAAAAUCAUCAUUGAGGGUGAAAUUGUUAUGGACAAGCUGACGACCCUUAUAACCCCUUGUUUGAAUUGUGAAAUGUAAAACACAAAAGCAAAUGCU